rnacentral:rRNA from 1 species
UACGUAGGGUGCGAGCGUUGUCCGGAAUUAUUGGGCGUAAAGAGCUCGUAGGCGGUGUGUCGCGUCGGCCGUGAAAACCUGCAGCUUAACUGUGGGCUUGCGGUCGAUACGGGCAUCACUGGAGUUCGGCAGGGGAGACUGGAAUUCCUGGUGUAGCGGUGAAAUGCGCAGAUAUCAGGAGGAACACCGGUGGCGAAGGCGGGUCUCUGGGCCGAUACUGACGCUGAUGCGCGAAAGCCAGGGGAGCGAACGGG